AUCGGCAGCUGGCAGCAGGAAGUGGCUGCCGUUGACAGCCGGAAGGCAGUAACUGACAGCCGGAAGGCAGUAACUGGCAGCCAGAUGGUAGGCGGGACCUGCCGAUCGGUGGGAGCCAAUCAGUAUCGACCAACGUGGGCGCAACCAAUCAGAUAUAACUGCACCCAAACGCUUCAUUAAUGGUUGCGAUUGAUCAUACGUUGCCAGAUGCUGUCCUGUUGGAAAUUCUUCUUUACGUGAUCCUGGAGGAGGGGUGAUGCUACAUUUAUUAAGUCUGUCUUUGGUUUGUUCCAAAUUCAGAAGUCUGCUGUACUGUAUACAGACUCCUUUCGAAAGAGGGCACAAUCCAGCUGGCUUGACUGAGUGGAACAAAAUGGAGAACAAGUCUAAGCCAUGUCAGGAAUUCAACAAAAUGUACACCCUGCAGACACUGCGACGAGGUUUACAUCAACUGCUUACCAGGUCACUGCAGUCACGCGGAUCGAGUACGUAUCCAGACCAGAUGGUGGAUCGCACCUAGAAAG